rnacentral:rRNA from 1 species
AUUGAACGCUGGCGGCAGGCUUAACACAUGCAAGUCGAGCGGGGGAAGGUAGCUUGCUACUGGACCUAGCGGCGGACGGGUGAGUAAUGCUUAGGAAUCUGCCUAUUAGUGGGGGACAACAUUUCGAAAGGAGUGCUAAUACCGCAUACGUCCUACGGGAGAAAGCAGGGGAUCUUCGGACCUUGCGCUAAUAGAUGAGCCUAAGUCGGAUUAGCUAGUUGGUGGGGUAAAGGCCUACCAAGGCGACGAUCUGUAGCGGGUCUGAGAGGAUGAUCCGCCACACUGGGACUGAGACACGGCCCAGACUCCUACGGGAGGCAGCAGUGGGGAAUAUUGGACAAUGGGCGGAAGCCUGAUCCAGCCAUGCCGCGUGUGUGAAGAAGGCCUUAUGGUUGUAAAGCACUUUAAGCGAGGAGGAGGCUACUGAGACUAAUACUCUUGGAUAGUGGACGUUACUCGCAGAAUAAGCACCGGCUAACUCUGUGCCAGCAGCCGCGGUAA